AUAACCUACCUAUAAGACGUGGGAAUUAACGUUACCGGGAAACCGGAGACUAAUACCGGAUAAUAUAUUGAACCGCAUGGUUCAAUAGUGAAAGACGGUUUUGCUGUCACUUAUAGAUGGAUCCGCGCCGCAUUAGCUAGUUGGUAAGGUAACGGCUUACCAAGGCAACGAUGCGUAGCCGACCUGAGAGGGUGAUCGGCCACACUGGAACUGAGACACGGUCCAGACUCCUACGGGAGGCAGCAGGC
rnacentral:rRNA from 1 species